rnacentral:rRNA from 1 species
CCUACGGGGGGCAGCAGUAGGGAAUCUUUCACAAUGGGCGAAAGCCUGAUGGAGCAACGCCGCGUGCAGGAUGAAGGCCUUCGGGUUGUAAACUGCUUUUAUAAGCGAGAAAUAUGAUGGUAACUUAUGAAUAAGGAUCGGCUAACUACGUGCCAGCAGCCGCGGUCAUACGUAGGAUCCGAGCAUUAUCCGGAGUGACUGGGUGUAAAGAGUUGCGUAGGUGGCAUAAUAAGUAGCUAGUGAAAUCUGGUGGCUCAACCAUUCAGACUAUUAGCUAAACUGUUAAGCUCGAGACCGUUAGGGGUAACUGGAAUUGCUAGUGUAGGAGUGAAAUCCGUAGAUAUUAGAAGGAACACCAAUAGCGUAGGCAGGUUGCUGGGACGGUUCUGACACUAAGGCACGAAAGCGUAGGGAGCAAACGGGAUUAGAUACCCCUGUAGUC